AGAGAGAUUUUGGAUGGUGUGGAUUGGUUUGACCACACAAGAUCAGUCCCUUUCUCUCCUCCCUCUCGAUCACCCUCUCAGUCUCUCUCUCUCUCUCCCGACCUCACACCCAAACACACCCAUAUCGUACGGACCACCACCAAAACCCUUCAAAACUUGACGGAUCGGGGCAAAUAAGGUAUGUAUCUUCAUCGUUUUGACGUCCUGAGUUCAUUGGUGCUAGUUUUAGGAAGUGAAACCUUCGAUUUCACGUAGAUCCCGAACCUCCAUUUUUGAGGUACUGUUCAUGCGAACGUAAAAUGUUGUGUUUCAGGAGAUUUCAAGCUUGUGGUGAGCUUUAGGAGGUCCUAAGGAAGCUCGGAGAUGUUCGUUGGAGAGUUUUGGACGUCGGGAUCGUAGGUUUCAAGUUUGGCCGAACCCUUGGUUUUUGCAAGGUGAGAUUUCGUAGUUUUUAGGCCCUAAAACUAGUCCAACGUGAUAGUACACUCUUAGGGCUUCAAUUUGGUAUAAAAUACGAAGAAAAUGGGUGAAAAACGAAGGAGAAUAGUGAGUUUGAAAAUCGGCCGGAGUUCGGCCGGAGUCCGGCCACCGGAGAACCAGUCCGGCGAGGCCCUGUGAAGAAGACGACACGUGCGCUGCACGUGCUGCGCGUGGCCAGCGCGUGGACCCGUGCCACGUGUGGCGCGUGGGGGCGCGUGGGGCUUCCAAAAAUUUUUCUAAAAAUUUCUCGACGCUCGUGACGUCGAGUAGGUCAAUGUGGUAUAUUCAUAUACCAAAAUUGAGCAUCGUAUGAGAAGUUAUUUCGAAUUAUUGGUGAUAUGCUUAAAAUUAAUGUUUUUAUAGUUGUUUCGCAUAUAGGUGAGACGUAUCCCGAGGACGACCGCAUCCAGGGACGCCACGGGGGUUACGACCCGUCGACUUAUCAGUGAGUGGGCAGUUUUGUUUUCGUAUUACCUAUAUACUACUGUUUUUCCCGGAAAAAUGUUCUAUAUGAAAAUAUGUCUUGAAUAUGCCAUGCAUAGAAUUAUUUGAAAAUCAUGAAUUGGUUUAUGAAUUAUAUGAUUGAGAUAUGAUGCAUACAUGUUGCAUGGUGCUGUGGAGGCACAGGUAAGUCAGGUGAGUUCAUUAUUCAUUUAAUUGAAUGGAUUGAUAUCAAUAUAAUUUGAGCUCAUAACCUGCACCCUAGGUGUUAGUGCUUAUAUUAUUCACCAC
rnacentral:lncRNA from 1 species